rnacentral:rRNA from 1 species
UACGAAGGGGGCUAGCGUUGCUCGGAAUUACUGGGCGUAAAGGGCGCGUAGGCGGACAGUUAAGUCAGAGGUGAAAGCCCGGGGCUCAAUCCUGGAAUAGCCUUUGAUACUGGCUGUCUUGAGUGCGGGAGAGGUGUGUGGAACUCCGAGUGUAGAGGUGAAAUUCGUAGAUAUUCGGAAGAACACCAGUGGCGAAGGCGACACACUGGCCCGUAACUGACGCUGAGGCGCGAAAGC